GCCUUUGUUAGACAAGAGAAAAAUCCUUCAAGGCUCCAGGAGAACUUGCUAAUUGAAGUUGAAGGAUUAAACAUCCUCCUGAAAGCUUUCAAGCUAAUGAGGAUUGCAAACUCAGAUGCCUACUUGGCCAACCCCAGAGAGGGCUGUCCAAAGUUGGGGGACACGUGGCCAUGAAAGGGGCUGCAGAGACUAGUUAAACUUGUUACUGUGCGAACUCUGCCGGCUGUUGCCUUUCCUUGGCUUCCUUCUCAACUCCAUGUUUACAGACCUGCCCCAAAGCAACCACAUUCUUACAAUCAGUCUUCACUCUAUCCAUACUGAUGGCCUGAGCAAGAGAGGAAGCAGGGGCCCAGACUGGUCAUUUCCAAAGUGAGAUGCACACUCCUGGCGUAGGAGGGGAGCAAGACGUCCCAUUUGGUGUGGAAACUGCUACUAGAAAAUUUCUACU